rnacentral:lncRNA from 1 species
AACACCGACUAUCACUUGGGAAGAGGAAUCCUCCAACCUCUGCUUCCACCCACCGUGAGUUCAACUAGAUAAGUAGAGAUAUGUUGCACAGCAAGGUGAAUUGACAGAAGUAGCAUCUCAGAUACCCCUCCAUGCAUGGUAAGUUAUAAAUAGAUAAAUAAUAUGUGUAUGUAUUAAUAUAUGUAGAUACUUUCAUACAUACAUAAAUAAAUAUUCAUACAGAGAUACUCCUAUCAACACACAUCUAUACACAAACAUGCAUACACAACAGAAACAUAAAACGAGACAGAUUGACAUUUUGAAAUUUCUCAUCAGGAGUAUCCAUGGCCAUACAGAGUGGUUUUUUGACAUUGUUUCUAAAUCUUCUCUCUUUAGCAUUUGAAGAUAUCUUUUCAUGUUUUUUAGAUCGUGGUGGGUAAAUUGGGGCUGGUCACAGGAGAGUUGCUUCUUCCUGUUAGUGUAUUUGUCACUCUUAGUUAUUAGUAGCCAAUUCCCUAGGAAACAAUGAGAUUCCCUGUGUAUGAGACUCUGCAUUCUAAUGUGCCCUCUUCUACUAGAAUGGACCCGGAGAAGACAAAAUCCUUUUUGGAGCAAGGAGAAUGUUGCAAUGGACUGGAAAGAGGGGAGCAGUCAGCAGAAAGAACAGAGCUAAUGGAACCUGAAUUGGUUUCUCACCCUCCAGAGCUCUGUCAGCUUGUGAGCCCAAGUCAAGAGGAAUUGACCAGAGGAAAUAGUCAUAGAGCCAGCAGAGAAAUCAAUGUGCCAAGUGACCAGAAAAGAGUAUCCUGGGGCGGCACCAAUAUCAUCAUAUCAGAACAACUCACCGGAGUUGAAAAUGGUCAAGGAGACAGCACUGAUUUGAACAACUCAGAUAGCAGGAAGAUUAAGACAAUUCUGCAUUCAAUUCUAUCAUCCUGUGUAUAUAGAACUUUUGGAGUCCUCCUGAUUAUCCUGGAUAUAAUACUUGUAUUUAAAGAACUAAUUUUCACUCGUGCAAUUUAUAUUCCUUUUGGAUAUCUAUUAGUUCUCCUAGCUAUUGCUUUAUUUUUUUUCCUCGAUCUUCUUGUUCGAGUAUAUUUAGAACAGUAA